UUAAGUUCAGCGGGUAGUCCUACCUGAUUUGAGGUCAAGUUUGUCAAAGUUCUUUUUUCGUUGUGAGCAGCGCGAUCCGUUCAUGCGGCGUACCAAAGGCAUAGAUAAUUUAUCACACCUAUAGUAGCAGCUCAGAUGCCACUAAUGCGUUUCAGGGGAGCCGACCUUUGUUCAAAGCCUGCAAAGACCCCCACAUCCAA
rnacentral:misc_RNA from 1 species